rnacentral:rRNA from 1 species
GUCCACGCCAUAAACGAUGUCAACUGGUUGUCGGGGAAGUUUUUCCUUGGUAACGAAGCUAACGCGUGAAGUUGACCGCCUGGGGAGUACGGCAGCAAGGUUAAAACUCAAAGGAAUUGACGGGGACCCGCACAAGCGGUGGAUUAUGUGGAUUAAUUCGAUGCAACGCGAAAAACCUUACCUACCCUUGACAUGUGCGGAAUGGGGUAGAGAUACCUCGGUGCCCGAAAGGGAACCGCAACACAGGUGCUGCAUGGCUGUCGU